rnacentral:rRNA from 1 species
UACAGAGGGUGCGAGCGUUGUCCGGAAUCACUGGGCGUAAAGGGCGCGUAGGUGGCCUGGUAAGUAGGGGGUGAAAUCUCGGGGCUUAACUCCGAAACUGCAUUCGAUACUGCCGUGCUUGAGGACUGGAGAGGAGACUGGAAUUUACGGUGUAGCGGUGAAAUUCGUAGAUAUUCGCAAGAACACCAGUGGCGAAGGCGGCUCACUGGACUGGUAUUGACGCUGAGGUGCGAAAGCGUGGGGAGCAAACAGG